CGUAGGGUGCGAGCGUUAAUCGGAAUUACUGGGCGUAAAGCGUGCGCAGGCGGUUAUAUAAGACAGAUGUGAAAUCCCCGGGCUCAACCUGGGAACUGCAUUUGUGACUGUAUAGCUAGAGUACGGCAGAGGGGGAUGGAAUUCCGCGUGUAGCAGUGAAAUGCGUAGAUAUGCGGAGGAACACCGAUGGCGAAGGCAAUCCCCUGGGCCUGUACUGACGCUCAUGCACGAAAGCGUGGGAGCAAACAGGAUUAGAUACCCUGGUAGUCCACGCCCUAAACGAUGUCAACUGGUUGUUGGGUCUUCACUGACUCAGUAACGAAGCUAACGCGUGAAGUUGACCGCCUGGGGAGUACGGCCGCAAGGUUG
rnacentral:rRNA from 1 species